GAUGAAGAACGUAGCGAAAUGCGAUACGUAAUGUGAAUUGCAGAAUUCAGUGAAUCAUCGAAUCUUUGAACGCACAUUGCACUCUCUGGUAUUCCGGAGAGUAUGCUUGUUUGAGUAUCUGUAAACAUCUCAAAUCUCUCUUCGCUUGCGUCGAGAGAAUUGGAUUUGAGCGAUCCCGACUCCUUCGUCAGAAAGAGGAGGGUCGCUUGAAAUGCAGGUGCAGCUGGACAUUCUUCUGAGCUAAAAGCAUAUCUAUUUAGUCCCGUCAAACGGAUUAUUACUUUUGCUUCAGCUAAUAUAAAGGUCGAAUGAACUACCAACGCUGAUUGCAGGAAAACUCGUUUGUAACAGAACUUGUAAACUCGAUCUCAAAUCAAGUAAGACUACCCGCUGAACUUAAGCAUACAAUAAGCGGAGGA
rnacentral:misc_RNA from 1 species